CUUAUUUUACCUAGUCAUGGCCCCAAAGCAGAAGAGUAGUGACGCUGGUAAUUCGGAUAUGCCGAAGACAAGCCGUAAAGUGAAAAGGGGCAAGUUCUCGACUUAAUAAGAAAAGAAAAAAAUUGUAUGCUGAGGUUGCUAAGACCUACGGUAAGAACGCUGGUAAUUCGGAUAUGCCGAAGACAAGCCGUAAAGUGAAAAGGAGCAAGUUCUCGACUUAAUAAGAAAAGAAAAAAAUUGUAUGCUGAGGUUGCCAAGACCUACGGGUACCUAAUAUGCUAAUAUCCUGUGGAGAGAAGCUGACUGUUGGACUUUAAGUGUAUGUGCUCGAUUUAGGAACUGCUGAUGGUCAAAAUGUAAUUUAAGAAGACAACAAAUAUUUGCACAGGUAUGUGAGCCCAGCUUAUAAGACAUCCAGCUAACAAGGUUUUUCAUAUUCUAAAUAAAGUGAAUGAUAGGAAAAAGAGUAAC